CCUACGGGAGGCUGCAGUGAGGAAUAUUGGUCAAUGGACGCAAGUCUGAACCAGCCAUGCCGCGUGCAGGAAGAAGGCUCUAUGAGUUGUAAACUGCUUUUGUACGAGGGUAAACGCCGAUACGUGUAUCUGGCUGAAAGUAUCGUACGAAUAAGGAUCGGCUAACUCCGUGCCAGCAGCCGCGGUAAUACGGAGGAUUCAAGCGUUAUCCGGAUUUAUUGGGUUUAAAGGGUGCGUAGGCGGUCGGAUAAGUUAGAGGUGAAAUCCCGAGGCUCAACUUCGGAAUUGCCUCUGAUACUGUUAGACUAGAGAGUAGUUGCGGUAGGCGGAAUGUAUGGUGUAGCGGUGAAAUGCUUAGAGAUCAUACAGAACACCGAUUGCGAAGGCAGCUUACCAAGCUACGUCUGACGUUGAGGCACGAAAGCGUGGGGAGCAAACAGGAUUAGAUACCCCAGUAGUC
rnacentral:rRNA from 1 species